rnacentral:rRNA from 1 species
UACGUAGGGUGCAAGCGUUAUCCGGAUUUACUGGGUGUAAAGGGCGAGUAGACGGUUUUGUAAGUCAGAUGUGAAAACUUAGAGCUCAACUUUAAGACUGCAUCUGAAACUGUAGAACUAGAGUGCAGGAGAGGUAAGCGGAAUUCCUAGUGUAGCGGUGAAAUGCGUAGAUAUUAGGAGGAACACCAGUGGCGAAGGCGGCUUACUGGACUGUAACUGACGCUGAGGCACGAAAGUGUGGGGAGCAAACAGG